rnacentral:rRNA from 1 species
UACGGGGGGCAAGCGUUGUUCGGAAUUAUUGGGCGUAAAGGGCUCGUAGGCGGAUCUAAAAGUCUGACGUGAAAUCUCCACCGCUCACCGGGGAGGGGCCGUUGGAUACUGUAGAUCUGGAGUUCGGUAGAGGGUCGUGGAAUUUCGGGUGUAGCGGUGGAAUGCGUAGAUAUCCGAAAGAACACCCGUGGCGAAGGCGGCUCUCUGGGACGGUACUGACGCUGAGACGCGAAAGCGUGGGGAGCAAACAGG